rnacentral:rRNA from 1 species
GACGAACGCUGGCGGCGUGCCUAACACAUGCAAGUCGAGCGAAUGAAGUUCCUUCGGGAGUGACUUUAGCGGCGGACGGGUGAGUAACACGUGGGCAACCUGCCUCAUAGAGGGGAAUAGCCCCCCGAAAGGGAGUUUAAUACCGCAUAAGAUUGUAGUACCGCGUGAUACAUCAAUUAAAUGAGCAAUCCGCUAUGAGAUGGGCCCGCGUCGCUUUAGCUCGGGGGUAAGGUAAUGGCACACCAAGGCGACGAUGCGUAGCCGAACGGAGAGGGGGAACAGCGAGACUGGGACAGAGCCAAGACCCAGACGGCAACGAGAAGCAGGAAUGGGGAAUAAUGCAGAAUGGGGGAAACCCUGAGGCAGCAAGGGCGGGUGGGUGAUGACGGCCUUGGGGUUGUAAAGCGCUGGGGUCAGGGAUGAUAAUGACGGUACCUGAGGAGGAAGCCACGGCUAACUACGUG